AGCAGCCGCGGUAAUUCCAGCUCCAAUAGCGUAUAUUAAAGUUGUUGCAGUUAAAAAGCUCGUAGUUGAAUUUCGGGGUCAGUAGGCUGGUCGUGCCACGGGUAUGUACUGGUCUUACUGAUUCCUCCUUCCUGAUGAACCGUAAUGCCAUUAAUUUGGUGUUGCGGGGAAUCUGGACUGUUACUUUGAAAAAAUUAGAGUGUUUAAAGCAGGCUAACGCUUGAAUACAUUAGCAUGGAAUAAUGAAAUAGGACGAUCGAUCCUAUUUUGUUGGUUUCUAGGAUUGACGUAAUGAUUAAUAGGGAUAGUUGGGGGCAUUAGUAUUCAAUUGUCAGAGGUGAAAUUCUUGGAUUUAUUGAAGACUAACUACUGCGAAAGCAUUUGCCAAGGAUGUUUUCAUUAAUCAAGAACGAAAGUUAGGGGAUCGAAGACGAUCAGAUACCGUCGUAG
rnacentral:rRNA from 1 species